rnacentral:rRNA from 1 species
CGGAGGAUCCAAGCGUUAUCCGGAAUCAUUGGGUUUAAAGGGUCCGUAGGCGGUUUAGUAAGUCAGUGGUGAAAGCCCAUCGCUCAACGGUGGAACGGCCAUUGAUACUGCUAGACUUGAAUUAUUAGGAAGUAACUAGAAUAUGUAGUGUAGCGGUGAAAUGCUUAGAGAUUACAUGGAAUACCAAUUGCGAAGGCAGGUUACUACUAAUGGAUUGACGCUGAUGGACGAAAGCGCGGGUAGCGAACAGGAUUAGAUACCCUGGUAGUCCACGCCGUAAACGAUGGAUACUAGCUGUUGGGAGCAAUUUCAGUGGCUAAGCGAAAGUGAUAAGUAUCCCACCUGGGGAGUACGUUCGCAAGAAUG